rnacentral:rRNA from 1 species
UACGUAGGCAGCGAGCGUUGUUCGGAGUUACUGGGCGUAAAGGGUGUGUAGGCGGUUGUUUAAGUUUGGUGUGAAAUCUCCCGGCUCAACUGGGAGGGUGCGCCGAAUACUGAGCGACUAGAGUGCGGGAGAGGAAAGUGGAAUUCCUGGUGUAGCGGUGAAAUGCGCAGAUAUCAGGAAGAACACCCGUGGCGAAGGCGGCUCUCUGGAACGCAACUGACGCUGAGACGCGAAAGCGUGGGGAGCAAACAGG